GACGAACGCUGGCGGCGUGCUUAACACAUGCAAGUCGAACGGACAGGCCCUGCUUUUGUUGGGUGCUCGAUUGGCGAACGGGGGAGUAACACGUGAGUAACCUGCCCUUGUCUUUGGGAUAACUUCACGAAACUGCGGCUAAUACCGGAUAUGAUCUCCUGCUGCAUGUGGGGGGUUGGAAAGUUUCGGCUGUUGGGGAUGGACUCGCGGCUUAUGCGCUUGUUGGUGUGGUAGUGGCUUACCAAGGCUUUGACGGGUAGCCGGCCUGAGCGGGUGAACGGGCACAUGGGGACUGAGGUACGGCGCAGACGCGUACGGGAGGCAGUAGGGGGGAAUAUGGCAGAAUGGGCGGAAGCCUGAUGCAGAAACGCCGCGUGCGGGAUGACGGCUUUCGGGUUGUAAACAGCUUUCGCCGGUGACGAAGAGUGAGUGACGGUAAUGGGUAAAGAAGCACCGGCUAACUACGUG
rnacentral:rRNA from 1 species